CAGGUGCUGCAUGGCUGUCGUCAGCUCGUGUUGUGAAAUGUUGGGUUAAGUCCCGCAACGAGCGCAACCCUUAUCCUUUGUUGCCAGCGGUCCGGCCGGGAACUCAAAGGAGACUGCCAGUGAUAAACUGGAGGAAGGUGGGGAUGACGUCAAGUCAUCAUGGCCCUUACGACCAGGGCUACACACGUGCUACAAUGGCGCAUACAAAGAGAAGCGACCUCGCGAGAGCAAGCGGACCUCAUAAAGUGCGUCGUAGUCCGGAUUGGAGUCUGCAACUCGACUCCAUGAAGUCGGAAUCGCUAGUAAUCGUGGAUCAGAAUGCCACGGUGAAUACGUUCCCGGGCCUUGUACACACCGCCCGUCACACCAUGGGAGUGGGUUGCAAAAGAAGUAGGUAGCUUAACCUUCGGGAGGGCGCUUACCACUUUGUGAUUCAUGACUGGGGUGAAGUCGUAACAAGGUAACCGUAGGGGAACCUGCGGUUGGAUCAC
rnacentral:rRNA from 2 species